GAAGCCUGCCAGACCGCCGCUGGUGCAAUCUUGGAAACAAGGCACUGGAGGAACGUCCGGACUGCACAGGACAGCGUAGGAGGUAACACCUCUCCACUGAAAGCCGCAAGGUAUAAGGUGAGGAUUAGAGCAACAGAGACGAGCCGAUUCAGUUCGGGUGAAACGGGCAAUCUCUACGCGCAGCAAUACCAAAUAGGCCAGCGUUGAUGUGGUUCCGCGGAGCUGGCGGGUAGGUAGCACCGAGCCGGGUGGGCGACCCCCGGCCCAGAUUAAUGGCGGUCACACCGGGCCAGCCUUGCUUUCGGGCAAGGCUGGCCCGGCGCACAGAAUCCGGCUUAUCGGCGGGCUUCACAC
rnacentral:RNase_P_RNA from 1 species